rnacentral:rRNA from 1 species
GAUGAACGCUGGCGGCGUGCCUAAUACAUGCAAGUCGAGCGAACAGACGAGGAGCUUGCUCCUCUGACGUUAGCGGCGGACGGGUGAGUAACAUGUGGAUAACCUACCUAUAAGACUGGGAUCACUUCGGGAAACCGGAGCUAAUACCGGAUAAUAUAUUGAACUGCAUGGUUCAAUAGUGAAAGACGGUUUUGCUGUCACUUAUUGAUGGAUCCGCGCCGCAUUAGCUAGUUGGUAAGGUAACGGAUUACCAAGGCAACGAUGCGUAGCCGACCUGAGAGGGUGAUCGGCCACACGGGAACUGAGACACGGUCCAGACUCCGACGGGAGGCAGCAGUAGGGAAUCUUCCGCAAUGAGCGAAAGCGUGACGGAGCAACGCCGCGUGAGUGAUGAAGGUCUUCGGAGCGUAAAACUCUGUUAUUAGGGAAGAACAAAUGUGUAAGUAACUAUGCACGUCUUGACGGUACCUAAUCAGAAAGCCACGGCUAACUACGUG